AACGAACGCUGGCGGCAUGCCUAACACAUGCAAGUCGAACGGGAUCCUAGCUUGCUAGGUGAGAGUGGCGGACGGGUGAGUAACACGUGGGAAUCUGCCUUUUGGUUCGGGAUAACCGCGGGAAACUGCGGCUAAUACCGAAUGCCCUCGAGAGAGGAAAGAUUUAUCGCCAGAAGAGGAGCCCGCGUCCGAUUAGGUAGUUGGUGGGGUAAAGGCCUACCAAGCCGACGAUCGGUAGCUGGUCUGAGAGGAUGAUCAGCCACACUGGGACUGAGAUACGGCCCAGACUCCUACGGGAGGCAGCAGUGGGGAAUAUUGGACAAUGGGGGCAACCCUGAUCCAGCAAUGCCGCGUGAGUGAUGAAGGCCUUAGGGUUGUAAGCUCUUUUGCCAGGGAAGAUGAUGACGGUACCCCAAGAAGAAGCCCCGGCUAACUCCGUGCCAGCAGCCGCGGUAAU
rnacentral:rRNA from 1 species